UACAUGGGGUGCAAACGUUGCUCGGAAUUAUUGGGCGUAAAGCGCGCGUAGGCGGUUACUCAAGUCGGAUGUGAAAGCCCUCGGCUUAACUGAGGAAGUGCACCCGAAACUGAGUAGCUAGAGUACUAAAGAGGGUCGCGGAAUUCCCGGUGUAGAGGUGAAAUUCGUAGAUAUCGGGAAGAACACCAGUGGCGAAAGCGCUCUACUGGGCCAUAACUGACACUGAGGGACGAAAGCUAGGGGAGCGAAAGGG
rnacentral:rRNA from 1 species